AAAAGAUAUAAGAAUCUCAUCUCCUUCUGGCGGAACGGCAGAGGGCUUGGCUGCUACCAGGGUGAUCCAAAGGGUGUAUCUAGGUAGCAUGUUUGUGGCCUCUUGCACUAACAUGAUUAAUGGUAGCUUCUAUUCCAUGACAUGAUUUUUGCAGCUGUAACAAUAUGUUUCAUGCAAGAGGACAUAAAUUUGCAUCCUAUUUUUCUGUCCAGUUAGUUCCAAAUUACAAAUGUUUGUGCUAUCACUGACAAUUUGGUGGAAAAAGAUGAGUCGUAUAUACACCCAGUGUGUUAAUUUCUAUGAUGUGGCUAGCAAAGUUGGCAACAGCUGGAGCUACCUGGAACUUUCAAUUUUGGUGCCAAGAUGGAUGGAUUCAACUGGGUGACCCAC